rnacentral:tRNA from 1 species
UAUAUUUUGGUGUAUGAUGCACAGAAGCUUUUGAUGCUUUUGGGAAUAGUUUAAUUCUAUUGAAUAUAA